GAGCAUAUAGCUCAGUGGUAGAGUACAUGCUUAGCAUGCACAAGGUCCUAGGUUCAAUCCCCAGUACCUCU
rnacentral:tRNA from 1 species